rnacentral:rRNA from 1 species
AGGUUUGAUCCUGGCUCAGGAUGAACGCUAGCGGCAGGCCUAAUACAUGCAAGUCGAGGGGCAGCACGAGGACUUGUACUUGGUGGCGACCGGCGCACGGGUGCGUAACGCGUAUGCAACCUACCCUUAACUGGAGGAUAGCCCGAAGAAAUUCGGAUUAAUACUCCAUAGUAUCACCAGAUGGCAUCUGAAGGUGAUUAAAGAUUUAUUGGUUAAAGAUGGGCAUGCGUGACAUUAGAUUGUUGGUGAGGUAACGGCUCACCAAGUCAGCGAUGUCUAGGGGGUCUGAGAGGAUGAUCCCCCACACUGGUACUGAGACACGGACCAGACUCCUACGGGAGGCAGCAGUGAGGAAUAUUGGUCAAUGGGCGAAAGCCUGAACCAGCCAUCCCGCGUGAAGGAUGACGGCCUUAUGGGUUGUAAACUGCUUUUGUACGCCAAGAAACCUUACUACGGGUAGUAAGUUGACGGUAGCGUAGGAAUAAGGACCGGCUAACUCCGUGCCAGCAGCCGCGGUAAUACGGAGGGUCCAAGCGUUAUCCGGAUUCAUUGGGUUUAAAGGGUACGUAGGCGGAAUAAUAAGUCAGUGGUGAAAUCCUGCAGCUCAACUGUAGAACUGCCAUUGAUACUGUUAUUCUUGAGUACAGUUGAGGUGGGCGGAAUGUGUAAUGUAGCGGUGAAAUGCUUAGAUAUUACACAGAACGCCAAUUGCGAAGGCAGCUCACUAAGCUGUUACUGACGCUGAGGCACGAAAGCGUGGGGAGCGAACAGGAUUAGAUACCCUGGUAGUCCACGCUGUAAACGAUGAUCACUCGUUGUUGGCGAUAUACUGUCAGCGACUGAGCUAAAGCAUUAAGUGAUCCACCUGGGGAGUACGGUCGCAAGAUUGAAACUCAAAGGAAUUGACGGGGGCCCGCACAAGCGGAGGAACAUGUGGUUUAAUUCGAUGAUACGCGAGGAACCUUACCUGGGCUUAAAUGUAGAAUGACUGUUUGUGAAAGCGUUUUUUCCUUCGGGACGUUUUACAAGGUGCUGCAUGGUUGUCGUCAGCUCGUGCCGUGAGGUGUCGGGUUAAGUCCCAUAACGAGCGCAACCCCUAUCAUUAGUUGCCAUCAGAUAAUGCUGGGGACUCUAAGGAAACUGCCUACGCAAGUAGUGAGGAAGGUGGGGAUGACGUCAAAUCAGCACGGCCCUUAUGUCCAGGGCUACACACGUGCUACAAUGGCCGGUACAGAGGGUCGCUACCUGGUGACAGGAUGCUAAUCUCGAAAACCGAUCUCAGUUCGGAUCGAAGUCUGCAACUCGACUUCGUGAAGCUGGAUUCGCUAGUAAUCGCAUAUCAGCAAUGGUGCGGUGAAUACGUUCCCGGGCCUUGUACACACCGCCCGUCAAGCCAUGGAAGCUGGGGGUACCUGAAGUCCGUGACCGCAAGGAGCGGCCUAGGGUAAAACUAGUAACUGGGGCUAAGUCGGAACAAGGUAGCC